ACGGAGGGUGCAAGCGUUAUCCGGAUUUACUGGGUUUAAAGGGUGCGUAGGUGGGCAGGUAAGUCAGUGGUGAAAUCUCCGAGCUUAACUCGGAAACUGCCAUUGAUACUAUUUGUCUUGAAUUAUCUGGAGGUGAGCGGAAUAUGUCAUGUAGCGGUGAAAUGCUUAGAUAUGACAUAGAACACCAAUUGCGAAGGCAGCUCACUACGGAUAUAUUGACACUGAGGCACGAAAGCGUGGGGAUCAAACAGGAUUAGAUACCCUGGUAGUCCACGCCCUAAACGAUGGAUACUCGACAUCAGCGAUACACUGUUGGUGUCUGAGCGAAAGCAUUAAGUAUCCCACCUGGGAAGUACGAUCGCAAGAUUG
rnacentral:rRNA from 1 species